CUCAGCUAUUGCCCCCAUGCAGCCUACAGUCACCUUACCCUCUGCCCCCACGCAGCCUGCAGUCACCUCAGCCUCUGCCACCAGCCUGGUACUACUACAGAGGAAGGACAGUUGGCGUUGGAUGAGCAUGACAUGCCAGGCAUGGAUCGUGUGGACCUACUAUCAAAGUUUGUGGUCAGCAUGAGGAACUCUAGAGGUCUGCAAAAUCAUAGGUCUCUGGCAGAACCUGCUGCCCUAUGACCAACAACAAGUGACAUGUGCUACCAGGCAUCAGGACAGGCUGAUAGCAGGAAAGAUCAGAUCACCAAAAAAAAAGAAAAAAAGGCUGAGUUCACUCUGGUGUGUAGAGUCUGAAGAGAUGCAUCCUGGGAUCUACUGCCUCCCCUGCACUGGAAAUAAGGUUUAGCUUGAGCAGUGUAAAAAUCCAAAUGUAAAUAUUUCUUGAUGUUCACAUGUACAAAGUGUGUGAUGAGAGUGUAUUAAAGUUAAAGUGUAAGGAA